rnacentral:rRNA from 1 species
GACGAACGCUGGCGGCGUGCUUAACACAUGCAAGUCGAACGGAAAGGCCCUGCUUGCAGGGUACUCGAGUGGCGAACGGGUGAGUAACACGUGGGUGAUCUGCCCUGCACUUCGGGAUAAGCCUGGGAAACUGGGUCUAAUACCGGAUAGGAGCCAUUUUUAGUGUGAUGGUUGGAAAGUUUUUUCGGUGUAGGAUGAGCUCGCGGCCUAUCAGCUUGUUGGUGGGGUAAUGGCCUACCAAGGCGGCGACGGGUAGCCGGCCCGGGAGGGUGGACGGCCACAGUGGGACUGGGACACGGCCCAGACUCCUACGGGAGGGAGCAGUGGGGAAGAUUGCACAAUGGGCGCAAGCCUGAUGCAGCGACGCCGCGGGGGGGAUGACGGCCUUCGGGUUGUAAACGCCUUUCGCUAGGGACGAAGCUUUUUGUGACGGUACCUAGAUAAGAAGCACCGGCUAACUACGUG